UAAAGCAAGAAAGGGCGUAUGGGGAAUGCCUAGGCACACUCCGGCGAAGAAGGACGCAGCAAACAGCGAAAUGCGACGGUGAGCGGUAAGCACGUGAAGAGCCGUCGAUAUCCGAAUGGGGGAACCCACACGGAGUCAUAUCCGUGUAUCACAUGUCGAAUACAUAGACAUGAUGAGGCGAGACGCAGGGAACUGAAACAUCUAAGUACCUGCAGGAAGAGAAAAUAAGAAUGAUUUUCUGAGUAGCGGCGAGCGAAAGGGAAAGAGCCCAAACCGAUUUGAGGAUCGGGGUAGUAGGAUCAUCGAUAAAUCAAACAGAGGAUCAUAGAGGAAUCACAUGGGAAGGUGAGCGAGAGAGGGUGAGAGCCCCGUACUCGAAAUGAGAGACUGGAGAGAGAUGACACCUGAGUAGGGCGGGACACGAGAAAUCCUGUCUGAAUCAGCCGGGACCAUCCGGCAAGGCUAAAUACGAGAGAGUGACCGAUAGUGAACCAGUACCGUGAGGGAAAGGUGAAAAGAACCCCGGGAGGGGAGUGAAAGAGAACCUGAAACCAUAUGCCUACAAGAAGUCAGAGCCCGUUAAAGGGUGAUGGCGUGCCUUUUGUAGAAUGAACCGGCGAGUUACUGUAUGGAGCGAGGUUAAGCAGGAUAUGCGGAGCCGAAGCGAAAGCGAGUCUUAAGAGGGCGCGAGUUGCAUGCAGUAGACCCGAAACCGGGUGAUCUAGCCAUGACCAGGUUGAAGUUGGGGUAAAACCCGAUGGAGGACCGAACCGACCCCCGUUGAAACGUUGGCGGAUGAGUUGUGGCUAGGGGUGAAAUUCCAAUCGAACCCGGAGAUAGCUGGUUCUCCCCGAAAUAGCUUUAGGGCUAGCGUCGAGAGAAGAGUUGCGUGAAGGUAGAGCACUGAAUAUGUGAUGGCCCCAUCUCGGGGUACUGAGCAUAAUCAAACUGCGAAUGUCACGCCAACAUGCUCGGCAGUCAGACAGCGGGUGAUAAGGUCCGUUGUCAAGAGGGAAACAGCCCAGACCAUCAGCUAAGGUCCCAAAAUGUAUGCUAAGUGGAAAAGGAUGUGGAGAUGUACAGACAACUAGGAGGUUGGCUCAGAAGCAGCCAUCCUUUAAAGAGUGCGUAACAGCUCACUAGUCGAAUGACUCUGCGCCGAUAAUUUACCGGGGCUAAGCAUACUACCGAAGCUAUGGAUCCCAAGGGAUGGUAGGGGAGCGUUCCAUGAACGGAGAAGUACGACCGAAAGGACGUGUGGAGAUCAUGGAAGAGAGAAUGCCGGUGUGAGUAGCGGAACGUGGGUGAGAAUCCCACGCACCGAAAACCCAAGGUUUCCAGAGGAAGGUUCGUCCGCUCUGGGUAAGUCGGGACCUAAGGCGAGGCCGAAAGGCGUAGUCGAUGGACAACAGGUAGAGAUUCCUGUACCCGUAUAUAUGUGAAGGAAUGACGGAGAGAGGAAGCUGCAGCCAGCGGCUGGAAGAGCUGGUGCAAGCGAGAUAUCGGGAUGGCAGGCAAAUCCACCAUCCGAAACGAGAAGGCGUGAAGCGUACGGAAAGCUACGGCGAGUACGGAAGGCAGUGGAGGAACUUCCAAGAAAAGUUUCUAACGUUAAGUAUAUAUGGCCCGUACCGAAAAUGGACACACAUGGGUGAGGAGAGAAUCCUAAGGUGAGCGAGAGAACUAUAGCUAAGGAACUCUGCAAAAUGACUCCGUAACUUAGGGAGAAGGAGUGCUCAUAGAGAUAUGAGCCGCAGUGAAACGGCCCAAGCGACUGUUUACCAAAAACACAGCUCUCUGCUAAGCCGCAAGGCGAAGUAUAGGGGGUGACGCCUGCCCGGUGCUGGAAGGUUAAGGGGAGGGGUUAACGCAAGUGAAGCCCUGAACUGAAGCCCCAGUAAACGGCGGCCGUAACUAUAACGGUCCUAAGGUAGCGAAAUUCCUUGUCAGGUAAGUUCUGACCCG
rnacentral:rRNA from 1 species